CGCCAAAUAACUACGAGUAAAAACUUAAAAUUUAAAAGACUUGACGGUACCUCACAACAACCUAGAGGAGCCUGUCAAAUAACCGAUACCCCACGAUUAAUCCAACCUUCACUAGCCUAACCAGUCUAUAUACCGCCGUCGCCAGCCUACCUUAUAAAAGAAACAAAGUAGGCUAAAAAGUCACAAUACUAGCACGACAGGUCGAGGUGUAACUUAUGUGAAGGCCAAAGAUGGGCUACAUUUUCUAACAUAGAAAAUACGAAUAAACUAUGAAAUAAGAAACUGAAGGCGGAUUUAGCAGUAAACUAAGGAUAAAAUACAUAGUCGAAACUAUAGCAAUGAGGUGCGUACACACCGCCCGUCAUCCCUGCAAACCAAACUAAAAAAAUACAUAAUUAUUAAAUAAGCCUAAAGCAGGGCAAGUCGUAACAAGGU
rnacentral:rRNA from 1 species